CUGCCAUCUUCUGGUAGAGAAAUCCCUGGUAACCUGCUGUGUCUGGUUAUGCUUUAGUGAGAAAAUUUGGCUUUUUAAGCUUCCUAAUUUCCUACGGUACCACGUCGUAAUUCACAAGAGUAAAAGGGCCGUGCUCCAUCCUGGCUGCCCUGUGGAAGCCCUGUGGAAGCCCUGUGGAAAUGGGAGGUGGCCCUGUGGAAGCCGGGUGACUUGAAGAGCUGCUGUCACUGAAGCCUGUCCUGGAGAGUCUGAUUCAACCUGUCUGAGGCAGGGCAUGCUGCUGCUCUGAACAAAAUAGUGGCUCUGCUGGGAAGGAAGAAAGGGAAAGAGGACAUUGGGCAGAAACCCUCAGCCUUCGAGCUGGGUACUCUUGAUUGCCAGCAUCUGAUUGAGCCUGUACAAACCUCCGGGGAGCUGCACCAGGAGGGUCGGAUGGACAUGCUGCCCCAGAAACACUGGCGAGAGAGGGAGGAAGCUGGCAAAGGGACUGGCACUGGUCUCCUAGGAAGAAUGACUGUGAAAAGGUGAGACGUGGUCUGGAAGAAGACUUGGGGGCAGCAUGCAUGUGCGUGUGAGAGACAUUUGAAGAGUGGGCAUUCCGAGGCCGGGUGUUUCAGUGGUUAAGCAUGUGGAUGGUAUUGCCAGGAAGACUGGGGACUGGGGUGACCAACCUGUCCCAGUAUGCUGGUGGCUUUCCUGGCUUUAGCACCGAAGUCAGUGUCUUGAGCAGACAUACCAGUCUGGAUGCUUGCCCUACCUGGGACUUGCUAGCUUUACCUAAACUUCUGUGCUGCAGAUUCCUCCCCUGUCGACUGGAUCUAAUGGAUAUCUAUUUUGGCUGGGGGUGGUGGCUCAUGCCUAUAAUUCCAGCACUUUUUGGAGGUCGAUGUGAGCAGAUUGCUUGAGCCCCAGGAGUUCAAGACUAGCCCGGGAAACAUGGCAAAAUCUCAUCUCUACGAAAAAAUACAAGAAUCAGCCAGGCAUGGUGGCACACUCCUGUAGUUCCAGCUUCUCAGGAAGCUGAGGUAGGAGAAUCACCUGAGCGUGGGGAGGUCAAGGCUGCAAUGAGCCAUGAUCAUGCUGCUGCACUGCAGCCUGGGCAGCACAGUGAGACUGUCUCACUAAUUAAUACUAAUAAUACUAAUAGCUACUUCAUUGAACUAUUGUGGACGUUAAACAAGAGAGUUCGUAUAAAGGACCUAACCCAGUGCUUGGCACAAAGACAUACUCAACACAUAGCAUCUAUUUAUAAUAAAUUAUAUUAGAUAUGUAGGCUUUUUCUGGGCAGUCCAAAGCUGGGAAACUGGACCAAUCUGUUUAGUGUAAGGAAAAAUUUCCUCACAGAUCAUAGGAAUUGCCAUGGUGUUCAAAUAUAGGCUGAUGUAGGGCCUGGUUGUGGGCUGGAAUGUAGAAGUAGCUUCUUCCUGAUCCAGAAAUUUCUUUUUUCGUUUGUUUGUUUUUUUGAGACAUGGUCCUGCUCUGUCACCGCAGCUGGAGAAGUUGCCCCAGCUGGCAGAAGUUUCAUAGGUCUCUGAUACAUUCAGUGUCAUGGUCUCUCUCUCUGUCUCUCUCUGUCUCUCUGUCUCUCUCUGU